CUAUAAUGGGAGAACAAGGAAAAGGAGGAGAAGAAGAAGAACAAAGGAAAGCUAACUUCUACUAAUAACCCAUUACUUUCUUGUUUUUCAUUUUUAUUUCUUUUCUUGGAAAAACACAAAAGCUUUCUUUGGUGAUUGAUUUCCCUUCUGAAUCAAAAAAGAAGCAAAAUUUGUCUGUUUUGGGUAUCCGAAAUCAAUUCAUUCCACACCCUUUAUUGCCUAAUUAUAGUUCCUAAACUCAGAAUUUACAACCAGAAUCAAACGGAGCUUCGCUGGAUUCUUUCUUUGUUUGGUUCUGAUAGAGAGAGAUGAGAGCUGGGCUCAGUACGAUUCAGCAAACUCUCACCCCUGAGGCGGCGAGUGUUUUAAACCACUCAAUUGCUGAAGCUAGCCGCCGGAACCAUGGUCAGACUACGCCCCUUCAUGUGGCGGCAACGCUUUUAGCUUCGCCGUCUGGGUUUCUUCGGCAAGCCUGUAUCAAAUCUCACCCCAACUCAUCGCAUCCUCUCCAGUGUAGAGCCUUGGAACUCUGUUUUAGUGUUGCUCUUGAGCGGCUUCCUACGGCACAGAACCUUAGCCCUGGCCAUGACCCACCAAUCUCCAAUGCUUUAAUGGCGGCACUGAAGCGUGCUCAGGCUCAUCAGCGACGGGGAUGCCCUGAGCAGCAGCAACAGCCACUUCUGGCGGUGAAAGUAGAGCUUGAACAGUUAAUUAUAUCAAUUUUAGAUGAUCCGAGUGUUAGUAGAGUCAUGAGGGAAGCUAGUUUUUCCAGCCCAGCUGUUAAGGCCACAAUUGAGCAGUCUCUUAACUCUUCAUCCAAUUCCUCUGCCGCGGCAGCCGCCUCUAAUUCAAACUCAUUUGGAUUCGGGUUUCGCACGCCUGGAGCUGUGCCAGUUCCUGCUCCUGCAACGAAUCGGAAUUUGUAUGUUAAUCCCAGAUUGCAACAGGGGAGUAUAGCGCAAUCUGGGCAGCAGAGGAAUGAGGAAGUUAAGCGGGUUGUUGAUAUUUUGUUAAAGAAUAAGAGGAGGAAUCCUGUUUUGGUUGGCGAAUCUGAGCCUGAGAUGGUUGUAAGGGAGCUAUUGAAAAGAAUAGAGAAUAAAGAAAUAGCAGAUGGGUUGUUAAAGAAUGUGCAGGUGAUUCAUUUGGAAAAGGAUUUUCUAGAUAAAACGAAAAUAGCAGCAAAGAUUAUAGAAUUAGGGGGUUUGAUCGAGACCCGGAUAGCAAAUUUGGAUUGCGGAGGGGUAAUCCUUGAUUUGGGUGAUUUGAAAUGGCUGGUCGAGCAGCAGGUAUACUUUGCAGGUGCUAGUGGACUCCAGCAGCAGCAGCAGAUUGUGUCUGAGGCUGAGCGGGCGGCAGUGGCGGAGAUGGGGAAGCUGUUGGAACGGUUUGGAGAGAGGAGUAGCGGUGGUGGCAGUGGAAGGGUUUGGUUGAUUGGAACUGCUACCUGUGAGACCUAUUUGAGGUGUCAGGUCUAUCAUCCUAGUAUGGAAAAUGAUUGGGAUCUGCAGGCAGUGCCAAUCGCUCCUAGAGCACCUCUUCCAGGAUUGUUUCCCAGGCUUGGAACCAAUGGUAUUCUUAGCAACUCAGUUGAAUCCUUAUCACCUUUGAAGGGCUUUCCAACUAUUACACCUAUUCCACUGAGGCGUCUUGCUGAGAACUUAGAUCCCACUCGAAGAAUGAGUUGUUGCCCUCAAUGCAUGCAAAAUUAUGAGCAAGAGCUAGCAAAAGUUAUACCAAAAGAAUCUGAGAAAUCUUCUUCAGAAUUUAAAUCAGAAGCAACUCAGCCACUACUGCCACAGUGGUUGAAAAAUGCUAAGUCUCAAGAUUGUGACACUAAAACGUUGGAUCAGACUGUGACUAAAGAUCAAGAAUUAAUGUCAAAGCAGAAGAGCCUAGAGUUGCAGAAGAAAUGGCAUGAUACGUGCUUACGUCUUCAUCCUGGUUAUCACCAGCCCAAUGUCAGCUCUGAGAGAAUUACACAACCGGCUCUCUCCAUGACGAGCUUGUUCAAUACAAACCUCCUUCCUCGGCAACCUUUCCAGCCCAAGUUAGGUUUAAAUGGAAACCUUGGUGGAACUCCGCAAUUGAACCCAAAUCUGUUGCCCAGACAAUCACCUGGUCGGGCAAUUACUCCAGCAGGAAGCCCUGUGAGGACAGACCUGGUUCUUGGGCAGCCAAAGAGCAAUGAACAAACUCCUGAGAAAGGCCAUGAAGAUCGCGCUAAAGACUUUUUUGGUUCUGUUGCUUAUGAGCCACAGGUCAAGUUGCAAGAAUUGCAGGCCAACAAGCUUCUAAGUGCAUUAGAUGCGGACUCAUUUAAGAGACUCCUCAAAGGUCUUACUGAAAAGGUGUGGUGGCAGAGAGAAGCAGCAUCUGCAGUAGCUACAACCGUGACACAAUG
rnacentral:misc_RNA from 1 species